rnacentral:rRNA from 1 species
UACGGAGGGUGCAAGCGUUAAUCGGAAUUACUGGGCGUAAAGCGCACGUAGGUGGUUUUCUAAGCCAGCUGUGAAAUCCCCGGGCUCAACCUGGGACUUGCAGUUGAAACUGGAAAGCUAGAGUAGGGUAGAGGGGUGUGGAAUUCCAGGUGUAGCGGUGAAAUGCGUAGAUAUCUGGAGGAACAUCAGUGGCGAAGGCGACACCCUGGACUCAUACUGACACUGAGGUGCGAAAGCGUGGGGAGCAAACAGG